rnacentral:rRNA from 1 species
UUCGGAAGGUGCAAGCGUUGUUCGGAAUUACUGGGCGUAAAGGGCGCGUAGGCGGCCUUCUAAGUCGAACGUGAAAUCCCCGGGCUCAACCCGGGAACUGCGUCCGAUACUGGAAGGCUUGAAUCCGGGAGAGGGAUGCGGAAUUCCAGGUGUAGCGGUGAAAUGCGUAGAUAUCUGGAGGAACACCGGUGGCGAAGGCGGCAUCCUGGACCGGCAUUGACGCUGAGGCGCGAAAGCCAGGGGAGCAAACGGGG